AACGUAGGAGGCGAGCGUUAUCCGGAUUCACUGGGCGUAAAGCGCAUGUAGGGGGUUCGUCAAGUCGCGUGUGAAAGCCUCUGGCUUAACUGGGGGAGGUCACGCGAAACUGGCGGACUUGAGGGCCGGAGAGGAAGGUGGAAUUCCCGGUGUAGCGGUGGAAUGCGUAGAGAUCGGGAGGAACACCAGUGGCGAAAGCGGCCUUCUGGCCGGCGCCUGACCCUGAGAUGCGAAAGCGUGGGGAGCAAACGGG
rnacentral:rRNA from 1 species